rnacentral:lncRNA from 1 species
AUCCCAUUAAAGAUUUUCAAACAUACAACUGUAGGACACUUUGCAAGAGGGCUGCAUAUUUGAAAUUUGCUUUAAUGCUAAUGUCAUGGCAGAACACAUGUUUUCUGUAAGGUCAUAAGAAAAUCCAAAUAGACCUAAGAACCAGUCACUUCAGUUUGGCAUUCACAAAUUCAUCAUUCCUCUCUACAAUAAGAACUGCUGGAAUUACACCAGUAACUUCUUCAAAAAAGAGGACAAGCGGUCUUCAGUGGUGGAAGAUCUGCUGAACUCAAAGGAAGCUGCAUUUGGAGUAACAUUUCAAGGAUGCAUUGAAUUUCUUUAUCACGGAAGAAAGUUAGAAAGGUUCUCCCAUAAAAGACAAAAAUGGACUGCAUGUAGUGUGGCUUAAUUUAAUUUAUCUCAUAAAAUCCAGACCAAAUAAAGUAACUUUAUAAUAUUAGAUAUAGCCA